AGAACUGGUCAGAACCUGCUGAAUACCACCUCUGGAAUGGAUGUUAUGUGGAAUCCCAACAUUUUAAUAUAAAAGUAUAUCUCAAGGUAGAUGUUCUGAUAAUAAUAUAAAUGUUAUAAUGUAAACGUUUUGCUGAUUUGUCCAAUGUGAAGAAUAGUCUGUAUACACAA